rnacentral:lncRNA from 1 species
AGGGAUUUGCUCGCUUCCAGCGAGAGAUAAAAUUUCGGCAUCGGGUGAUCCUUUCGUGGAGGUCAAUUCUAUCGAAGAGGGUGGGAUCGUUCCAUCCUUGCAGAAUGGAGUCACGGAAACCGUUUCUACCAAGCCAUCGCUUGUCGAAUUUAAAGCCUCGCUGACCAGGUCUCCUAACAGAGAGAAAACGAGUAAGUAUUGGGCGAUGAUCACUGCCCCAAAGGCGAAGAUACUCCACAUUUGUGUGGGAGAAGCAGUGGUGCCAGUCUUCAUUACCCACUGCUCGAUCUAACAUGCAUUGCACUUUUCCGGAAGCCCUAUUUCCCACCCAGGAUAAAGAG